rnacentral:lncRNA from 1 species
GGAGGAAGAAAGAUGACGCCUACAAUCGCAUCAGAGAAUUCAUCUCAGGGUUUAGAGAAAACCCACAGGUAAGUGAAAUUUACUUCAUCUGUGGGUGUGGGGUUCGAGUCUAGACUUCAAAUAUCAAAGCAAGAAAGUCUAUAAUUGGCCAAUCUAAACUCUGAUGGGCCGGUUUUCCAGUUCACCCCUGACGGAAAGCAAAAAAUAACAUCGAUAAGAGAAGACUGUAUUGACAAAAGCUGUUCAAUGAUCAAUGAAUCUUUUGAUCUUCUGUCAUUUGUUUAAUCUGUGCCGAUUCCAAGGGAAAGCUGAGUAAUCUUUAACAAAAUUCAGUUAUAAUGAAAUUUUUAGGCGGACACACCGUACAAAUAAUUGUAAUACCUACUUCCUUGAUACUGCUGUCUGAAAGUUUCUGAAACAGCUGCUCUCAUUAUGGAAAAUCACAGAUUACGUCUCAUCUUUUAUAGUUGCAUCCUCUUUCAUUAAGAAAUGAUCUUAAGGAACUUGCAUACCUUUUAACCUUUUCGGAAAAUGUUACAAAGAAUAUGGCCAUUUUCCCAUGGAUCUGGCAGAGCCUGUCUUAUGGCAAUGGCACCUCUGAAGUUAUGACAAACUCAUGUCCAUCUUCUUUUAUUAACUCAGGAAAUGUUUUAAUCAUAAUUUUUUUUUUGCAGUUAAGGAAAUUACAGCCAAAUGGAAUUCCCUUCGGACGCAAUUCAUAGCGGAGCACAAAAAGUCUUGGAUUCCAUGAGAACCGGCACAGGCAAAGAUGAAGUCUAUUCACCUAAUAUGACACACUACUGCGACUUAUUAUUCUUGACAGAUCAUGUAGCGAUCCGCCAGCCACAGUCAAAUGAGGCAUUUGGAAUCGAAAAUGAGGACAACAUUGAUGAGGACCUUUACCACGAUGACUUGCCUUCAACGAGUUUAGCUGGCCCUCCAGUGAAAAAAAGGAAAUCUAAAGCCAAUAAUAAUACAACUGUUGAUGGGGUAUUUAUCGACUUCUUGAAUGAAGCUAAAACUGUGUUCAAGCCGGCACAGCCACCCACUGCUGUAGCUCCUACUACUGCUGCAGCUUCUCUAUCUGCUACUCCACUCACCGAACCUCAGGACGAAUUUGCUCAGCUGGGAAAUUUGGUGGCUACUAAACUAAGAGCUAUGCCAGUUGAGCAGAGCAAAAAAAUUUCAAGUCAAAUUGUUGGAAUUCUUUACGCCUAA